UUUCCGUAGGUGAACCUGCGGAAGGAUCAUUAAAAAUGAAGCCGGGAAACCGGUCCUUCUCACCCUUGAUUAUCUCAAUUUGUUGCUUUGGUGGGCCGCGCAAGCACCGGCUUCGGCUGGAUCGUGCCCGCCAGAGGACCACAACUCUGUAUUAUAUGUCGUCUGAGUACUAUAAAAUAGUUAAAACUUUCAACAACGGAUCUCUUGGUUCUG
rnacentral:misc_RNA from 1 species